UUCGCAUUCCAAAAGUAACCUUCCAACUAACUUGUUAAAUGACAAAUAUGACCCAUGAAAACUAAUUUCAUUUCUCAUGGAGAUGAACAUGAAUUCGCCCAUUUAUUGUGACUCAUUCUUUAAACAAACCAAAAAAAAAAAAAAAGUAACACGAAAUCGAGCCCAACCUAUUUACCCGAAUUUACGGCUCUACCUUCCUCGUGCAUCUACUUGUAUAUUGUCGUGCCUCGUGCAUCUGGGUGCACCGUCCCUUAAACUUUUUAAUCCUCCCACCUCUCCUGUUUUACCACGCCAAAAAAGACGGUGUAGAAGCAAAGCCGUUAAAAGGAUGUAUCAUCCUACCAGAGGCGGCGUUCGCGGUGGCCGAGAUCAAUUCAAGUGGGAUGAUGUGAAGGUUGAUAAACACAGAGAAAAUUACCUUGGUCACAGUCUUAAGGCUCCUGUUGGGAGAUGGCAAAAAGGCAAAGAUUUGUUUUGGUACACCAAGGACAAGAAUUCUCAGGGCGUUGAACAGGAUGCCUUAAAGGCAGAGAUUCAGAGGAUCAAAGAAGAAGAGGAGCAGUCAAUGAGAGAAGCUCUAGGCUUAGCUCCAAAACGUUCUGACCAACCAAAAGGAAAUCGUCUUGAUAAGCAUGAAUUUUCCGAACUUGUCAAGCGUGGAUCAACUGCUGAAGAUUUGGAAGGUGGUCAUGCUGAAGCAGCAAAGGUUCAAGGACUUGGUUUUGCCAGAGCUCCUCGUAUCAUGGAGGCAUCAACUACUGUUUUGCCUGGUGCCAAGGAUGUUGUUGCUGAGGCAGAUAAGGCUCCUCCUGAGGCUUCUGAGAAAUUGGAUAAACAGGAGUCAGAUGAGGAAGUUAGACGGAAGAAGGGAAAGCAUGAUGAGCGGAAACGUGAGAAGCACGAAGAAAGAAAGCACAGGAAGCGUGAAAAGCAUGAAAAACAUCAUUCUCAUGACUCAGAUGACAAGAGGAAACGUCGCAAGGAGAAGAAGAGAAGGAAUGAUUCAGAUUCAGAAUGAUUUCAUUACUUCCUUUGUAAAACAAACUCCCCUCACAUAGUAAUUUUCACGGACCAAUUUAACUUCUUUGAUUUAUACUACCCUUGUGUAUGGUAUGGUGUUGGCUACCUCGUAAAUGCUAGUUAUACUCUAUAGAGCAAAACAGUUGAGAUUAUGGUGGCGGAAAUGGAGAUGGAGAUGCUUAACUAUAUGUAUAUCUACGCAAAUAAAGAUGCUUAAUUAUAUGUGUAUCUACGCCAAAAGAGAUGUAUGAUGUGAGUCAUGUUAUAGGAGAGAAGGUUCAUGGAAAUUUUAUCAAUACAAAUUUCUGAAAA